rnacentral:rRNA from 1 species
AGAGACAGCAGUCGCCGCGGUAAUACGUAGGUCCCGAGCGUUGUCCGGAUUUAUUGGGCGUAAAGCGAGCGCAGGCGGUUAGAUAAGUCUGAAGUUAAAGGCUGUGGCUUAACCAUAGUACGCUUUGGAAACUGUUUAACUUGAGUGCAAGAGGGGAGAGUGGAAUUCCAUGUGUAGCGGUGAAAUGCGUAGAUAUAUGGAGGAGCACCGGUGGCGAAAGCGGCUCUCUGGCUUGUAACUGACGCUGAGGCUCGAAAGCGUGGGGAGCAAACAGGAUUAGAUACCCCCGUAGUCCCUGUCUCUUAUACA